AUGUAUAUAUAUUCACGUAUAAAUAUAUAUACACAUAUAAAAGAACAUAAAUUCAAUAUGAAUUUGUAAUGUUUUGAGAACAUGUAUUUUAUGUUUACGUAGAUAUAUAUUAACUCAUAUUAGAGGACGAUAACAUUGAGACGACUUUUGUAAACAAAUCAAAAGAUAUUAUUUCAAAACAAAAACAAUUUCAUAUGGAACGACCUACGAGUUGACAUUGUGGUAGCUUAGUCAUGAUCGUAUUACUCAUGGAGAGCUCAGACGUCUCUCGUCAUUACUGCGAAGAAGAAGAAGAGGAGCCUUUUACCGAGCGGAACUUACUUCGUCCUGAAACUUAUAUCAAGUGAUAAUGAUGGAAGAACUCUUGAGACUUUCUCAGCUGCACACAUUAGAGGAAGGUGUGCGAGCGUAGGGUUUCGCAAGGGUAGUCUUCUCUUUCAAUUACUGGCGCAACUACGAAGAAGUUUCUUGUGCCACGUGACUGGAAUAUCUCGGAUCCACUUAUUAUAUUCUUUCCGAGACACGGGAAACGACACGCGGUUGCUUCGUUGACCUUCCUCCAUGAUAAUUAGCGGUAGUAGUUCGUCGAGAGUACGAUGGAGAGUAUACCUUAAUGGAUUCGUUCCUGAUUUUCAUGGAACCCGACCGACAUACGGAGAGACGUUAAAACGUUGCCAAGCAGUUUCUAACGUUGAUCGACGAGAAGGCAAGAUUCCGUUCGAUCCCCCUUUUUCCUACAAUGCUACAAAGUUAAUAAAUCAAAGGUUCAACGCGAAAAUGUCCGCUUGGAGUUCUUGCUAUCCGGAUAGAUCUCAUUAGACCGACAGAAAGACAGACAGACGGAUAGACGGACGAAUAGACGGCUGAACAGACAGACAGACAGACAGACAGACAGACAAAUACAAACACAUAAAGAGACGAACAUCAUAUACAUAGAU